GCCCGGGUGAUGGAAUGGUAGACAUAAAGGACUUAAAAUCCUUGGUUGGCAACGACGUGCGGGUUCGAGUCCCGCCCUGGGCA
rnacentral:tRNA from 1 species